rnacentral:rRNA from 1 species
UACGUAGGGGGCAAGCGUUGUCCGGAUUUAUUGGGCGUAAAAGGCUUGUAGGUGGCCACGCCAAGUCGGAUGUGAAAUCUCCCGGCUCAACUGGGAGGGGUCAUUCGAUACUGGUGGGCUCGAGGCCGGUAGGGGGAAGCGGAAUUCCCGGUGUAGUGGUGGAAUGCGUAGAUAUCGGGAGGAACACCAGUGGCGAAGGCGGCUUCCUGGACCGGUUCUGACACUGAGGAGCGAAAG